rnacentral:rRNA from 1 species
UGAGGAACAUGACCUUCGGCGGGGGAUAGCCGGCCCAACGGUCGGGUAAUACCGCGUACGACCACAUGGGGACAUCCCUGAGUGGUGAAAGCAGCAAUGCGCCGAUGGAGUGCCUCGCGGCCUAUCAGCUAGUUGGUGAGGUAACGGCUCACCAAGGCGACGACGGAUAGCUGGUCUGAGAGGAUGGCCAGCCACAUUGGGACUGAGACACGGCCCAGAUCCUACGGG